rnacentral:tRNA from 1 species
GGUAAAAUGGCUGAGGUUAAGCAUUAGACUGUAAAUCUAAAGACAGAGGAUGAAAUCCUCUUUUUACCAG